rnacentral:rRNA from 1 species
GUUAAGCGACUAAGCGUACACGGUGGAUGCCCUGGCAGUCAGAGGCGAUGAAGGGCGUGCUAAUCUGCGAUAAGCGCCGGUAAGGUGAUAUGAACCGUUAUAACCGGCGAUACCCGAAUGGGGAAACCCAGUGUGACUCGUCACACUAUCAUUAACUGAAUCCAUAGGUUAAUGAGGCGAACCGGGGGAACUGAAACAUCUAAGUACCCCGAGGAAAAGAAAUCAACCGAGAUUCCCCCAGUAGCGGCGAGCGAACGGGGAGGAGCCCAGAGCCUGAAUCAGCAUGUGUGUUAGUGGAAGCGUCUGGAAAGGCGCGCGAUACAGGGUGACAGCCCCGUACACAAAAGCGCAUGUGCUGUGAGCUCGAUGAGUAGGGCGGGACACGUGGUAUCCUGUCUGAAUAUGGGGGGACCAUCCUCCAAGGCUAAAUACUCCUGACUGACCGAUAGUGAACCAGUACCGUGAGGGAAAGGCGAAAAGAACCCCGGCGAGGGGAGUGAAAAAGAACCUGAAACCGUGUACGUACAAGCAGUGGGAGCACCCUUCGGGGUGUGACUGCGUACCUUUUGUAUAAUGGGUCAGCGACUUAUAUUCUGUAGCAAGGUUAACCGUAUAGGGGAGCCGUAGGGAAACCGAGUCUUAACCGGGCGUUAAGUUGCAGGGUAUAGACCCGAAACCCGGUGAUCUAGCCAUGGGCAGGUUGAAGGUUGGGUAACACUAACUGGAGGACCGAACCGACUAAUGUUGAAAAAUUAGCGGAUGACCUGUGGCUGGGGGUGAAAGGCCAAUCAAACCGGGAGAUAGCUGGUUCUCCCCGAAAGCUAUUUAGGUAGCGCCUCGUGAAUUCAUCUCCGGGGGUAGAGCACUGUUUCGGCUAGGGGGCCAUCCCGGCUUACCAACCCGAUGCAAACUGCGAAUACCGGAGAAUGUUAUCACGGGAGACACACGGCGGGUGCUAACGUCCGUCGUGAAGAGGGAAACAACCCAGACCGCCAGCUAAGGUCCCAAAGUCAUGGUUAAGUGGGAAACGAUGUGGGAAGGCCCAGACAGCCAGGAUGUUGGCUUAGAAGCAGCCAUCAUUUAAAGAAAGCGUAAUAGCUCACUGGUCGAGUCGGCCUGCGCGGAAGAUGUAACGGGGCUAAACCAUGCACCGAAGCUGCGGCAGCGACACUGUGUGUUGUUGGGUAGGGGAGCGUUCUGUAAGCCUGUGAAGGUGGCCUGUGAGGGUUGCUGGAGGUAUCAGAAGUGCGAAUGCUGACAUAAGUAACGAUAAAGCGGGUGAAAAGCCCGCUCGCCGGAAGACCAAGGGUUCCUGUCCAACGUUAAUCGGGGCAGGGUGAGUCGACCCCUAAGGCGAGGCCGAAAGGCGUAGUCGAUGGGAAACGGGUUAAUAUUCCCGUACUUGGUGUUACUGCGAAGGGGGGACGGAGAAGGCUAUGUUGGCCGGGCGACGGUUGUCCCGGUUUAAGCGUGUAGGUGUGUGUUCCAGGUAAAUCCGGUUCACUUUAACACUGAGGCGUGACGACGAGGCACUACGGUGCUGAAGCAACAAAUGCCCUGCUUCCAGGAAAAGCCUCUAAGCAUCAGGUAACAUCAAAUCGUACCCCAAACCGACACAGGUGGUCAGGUAGAGAAUACCAAGGCGCUUGAGAGAACUCGGGUGAAGGAACUAGGCAAAAUGGUGCCGUAACUUCGGGAGAAGGCACGCUGACACGUAGGUGAAGUGAUUUACUCA